ensembl:lncRNA
UCUGAACUUGUCAUCCGUGGAAUCCGUGGAGGGAGGUCUGCUGCCCCUGCUUGGAUUCUGCCGUGAGUGGGGGGCAACCAGACCGUGGCAGGGGGGUUGGAACUGGGUCAUCUCUAGGUCUCUUCCAACCUAAGCCAUUCCAUGAUUCUAUGAUAAGAGUGAAUCGGAUCUUUCCUGGAAGCACCCGAGCAGACAAAGAGCUGAAGUGGGUGGUUUUCAAACACCAAAUCCAAAGAGACUGUGGGGAAGAGCCUCUUCCAUUUGGAGUGAGGGCACCUUGUGUUCAAGUCAGUGCUGCUCUGAGUGAGCAACAGAUGAAGCUCAGGCUGAGCCAUGCUUGGGAGGAGGUACAAGCUCUUCCAUUCAAGGUCUGGAGAUGUUGUUACUUGUGAAAGAAUACUCAAAAGUGAGCUUCAACACUGCAUGUGAAGGAGAGCUUACAAGUUUUGUUUGAAGCAGUCACCAACAGGAGAGUGCCAUAGCCUCAUGCACAUCCGUGACACCACUGACCCUUGUGUGGGCUUCAUUCAAAGCCAACAAAAACUCUGCUGCCCUGGGUAGCACCUCAAGCUGCUAGCACAGCCAAGCAUGGUUGGAGGAAGUUUUUGUGCCUUUUUAUGCUCCUGCUCUUGAGAUGCCCCUGUUCAGGUCCUCUGCGCUUGUGUGGUUCAGCAGGUGGUGCUUGCUUGGUGGCCCUUAUUUCUUGCAGCCAUCCCGCUCUGAGCGCUGCAGAUUUACCCAGCCAACCUGAGCACAGCAAAGAGGAGGUGGAUGAGGGCAGUGAAAGUUUUCAAGUGGACUUCAGACUCAUUACUUAGAAAAUACAGAAAUGCAACUCGUUAGGAGGGGUUUGUAAUGACAAGGGAUGACAUAAGAGAGCCACAGCGACCGUAGAGCAGAUGUCUGCAGAGGACACGCCAGGCUGGAGAUGUUGCUUCUACAGUGCAUCACCGCAAUGAAACACCAUGAGCUGAUGUCCACCCGUGCCAAGGGGAGAUUACAAGGGCAUAUCGGACUACGAACAAACACAGUUUUGGACACAGUGUAAGGAUAUGAAAACAAUGGCAUACAAUUUAUUUACAGAGCUUUCUUACAACUGCACUACUAAGACAUUUUAGAGCUAACUGGGUCCCUAUGCUCCCUAUCUACUCUAUCUCUUGCUGGACGAGUCUCUCUCUGGGCACAUCACACCAGACGGGCGCUGUCAGCUGGCGCUCUCCUCUUCAGUCCAGUUCUUCCUCGGCUGUUUUGGACAUCAACUCUGUCAAAGCUCGGCUUACAGGAGAAGAGUAACUGAAAUGCAAAGGAGAAAACUCAGUCGCCCUCGUGUCAAAACAAAAAAUCAGAAGGAUAAGAGAAGAAAGACUUUGAAUUGCAAAAACAAAGAAACCUGUAUAGAAAAACAUCUGUGAUUUGGUUUCAACCUCCAAUUCAGGGCAAAGCAUUCAGAGACUGUCAGAGCCCCGCCGGUGUUUCCACCCGAGAUGUGCCCUCAGUGAUGAAGAUGCAGAACGUCUCUGGCCAUCCUCACCUCCUCGGCUGCCCCAGGCUCACCUCAUGGGAACGCCCCUCCCAGCCAGGAGGAGGUGCUGGGAGCUGGGCCAUGCGCACACACACAGCCAUACCUCGCUCUGAGCAGAAGGCGCGUCUUCUUCUCCGUGAUGCUCUGCUGGCAGGACGGGUCUCUGCAGAGCUGCUGUUCUUCUGCCAGCACUGGGGCAGCAUCAGGUGUUGCUCUUCACCCCAUGCUGGCGGGGAGAGUGGUAUCCCAGGAUGCAGUAGCACAUCUGAAACAGAGAUUCUUUUUAGCAACUUUCUAUAUCAUACUCUAUAAAUUAACUACCUUUCAGUCACCCAUCUUUCUAUCCUGCAUCCCCCUAUCAGCUAUCUGGCUAUGAUCUAACUACAUCACUACUAACUCUUGCUUACUGCUAACUACCUUGCUAUCCACAAACUACUUCUCUAACAAUAACCCACCUAUCUGCUAUCUGUUCACUACCUUUAUACCACCAUCAGCUAUCUAUCUCACUAUCUAUGUCACUAUCAACUAAUCUACAUCACUAUCAAGUAAUCUAUGUCACUAUCAACUAAUCUACGUCGCUAUCAACUAAUCUACGUCGCUAUCAACUAUCAUGCUACCCACUAUCUAUCUAUACAACAACUAUCUCUAUCUCCUCACAUUCCUCAUCUACAUCUACCGGCCCCUGAUCCCCCCGGGGCUGCUCUCCUCCCGUCCCUCACACUGCCCGCUCUGGGCUGCCAGCCCGUGAUCUCCCUGCUGGUAGGCGGGGCUGCUGGGGGCUGCUGGCGGCUGCGAAGGAAGCCGGGGGCUGCAGCACGGCCAGAGGAGGGGUUGCGAAGGGAGCCGGGGGCUGCAGCACGGCCAGAGGAGGGGCUGCAGCCAAGGAAGCCAGGGGCUGCAGCACGGCCAGAGGGGCUGCAGCCACCACCGGCCCCAGCAGCACGGGCACUGCCAGCCAGGGGUGGCAAGGGCAGGCAGGG